GGCGCGAUGACCGAGUGGCCUAAGGUGUUUGACUCGAACUAGCUUCGAGACGCAAUCAAAUCUCUUCGGAGGCGCAGGUUCAAAUCCUGCUCGCGUCG